UAGGGAAUCUUCCACAAUGGGCGCAGCCUGAUGGAGCAACGCCGCGUGAGUGAAGAAGGUCUUCGGAUCGUAAAACUCUGUUGUUAGAGAAGAACAUGCGAGAGAGUAACUGUUCUUGUAUUGACGGUAUCUAACCAGAAAGCCACGGCUAACUACGUGCUAG
rnacentral:rRNA from 1 species